UUGUUGGAGAGUUUGAUCCUGGCUCAGGACGAACGCUGGCGGCGUGCUUAAUACAUGCAAGUCGAACGAGGUCCAUCCGAUCUUCGGAUUGGUGAAGACCUAGUGGCGAACGGGUGCGUAACACGUGAGAAACCUGCCCCGGUCUCUGGAAUAACAGUUGGAAACGGCUGCUAAUACCGGAUGCCGUCGGACCAUCGCAUGGUGGACCGACGAAAGGGUUACCGGACCGGGAGGGUCUCGCGGCCUAUCAGCUUGUUGGUGAGGUAACGGCUCACCAAGGCAUCGACGGGUAGCUGGUCUGAGAGGAUGAUCAGCCACACUGGGACUGAGACACGGCCCAGACUCCUACGGGAGGCAGCAGUAGGGAAUAUUGCAC
rnacentral:rRNA from 1 species